rnacentral:rRNA from 1 species
AUUGAACGCUGGCGGCAGGCCUAACACAUGCAAGUCGAGCGAGCGGCGGACGGGUGAGUAAUGUAUGGGGACUGCCCGAUAGAGGGGGAUAACUACUGGAAACGGUGGCUAAUACCGCAUAAUGUCGGAUCACCGAUAUGGGAUUAGCUAGUCGGUGAGGUAAUGGCUUACCUAGGCGACGAUCCCUAGCUGGUCUGAGAGGAUGAUCAGCCACACUGGGACUGAGACACGGCCCAGACUCCUACGGAGGCAGCAGUGGGGAAUAUUGCACAAUGGGCGCAAGCCUGAUGCAGCCAUGCCGCGUGUAUGAAGAAGACCCUAGGGUUGUAAAGUACUUUCAGUCGGGAGGCGUUACCGACAGAAGAAGCACCGGCUAACUCCGUGCCAGCAGCCGCGGUAAUUC